UACGGAGGGUGCAAGCGUUAUCCGGAUUUACUGGGUUUAAAGGGUGCGUAGGCGGAUAGGUAAGUCAGGGGGUGAAAAUCUUCGAGCUUAACUCGGAAAUUGCCUUUGAUACUAUCUAUCUUGAAUAUUGUGGAGGUAAGCGGAAUAUGUCAUGUAGCGGUGAAAUGCUUAGAGAUGACAUAGAACACCUAUUGCGAAGGCAGCUUACUACGCAUAUAUUGACGCUGAGGCACGAAAGCGUGGGGAUCAAACAGG
rnacentral:rRNA from 1 species